GCGACCCCAGGUCAGGCGGGACUACCCGCUGAAUUUAAGCAUAUAAAU
rnacentral:rRNA from 1 species